UACAAAGGGGGCUAGCGUUGCUCGGAAUCACUGGGCGUAAAGCGCAUGUAGGCGGAUUGCUAAGUCAGGGGUGAAAUCCUGGAGCUCAACUCCAGAACUGCCUUUGAUACUGGCGAUCUCGAGUCCGGGAGAGGUGAGUGGAACUGCGAGUGUAGAGGUGAAAUUCGUAGAUAUUCGCAAGAACACCAGUGGCGAAGGCGGCUCACUGGCCCGGUACUGACGCUGAGGUGCGAAAGCGUGGGGAGCAAACAGG
rnacentral:rRNA from 1 species